rnacentral:rRNA from 1 species
CAAGUCGAGGGGUAACAGGUGGAGCUUGCUCCCGCUGACGACCGGCGCACGGGUGCGUAGCGCGUAUGCAACCUACCUACUACUGAGGGAUAGCCUGUGGAAACACGGAUUAAUACCUCAUAAUACAGGGGCUCUACAUGGAGAUAUUUGUUAAAGAUUUAUCGGUAGUAGAUGGGCAUGCGUCCCAUUAGCUAGUUGGUGAGGUAACGGCUCACCAAGGCGACGAUGGGUAGGGGUUCUGAGAGGAUGAUCCCCCACACUGGUACUGAGACACGGACCAGACUCCUACGGGAGGCAGCAGUAAGGAAUAUUGGGCAAUGGAGGCAACUCUGACCCAGCCAUGCCGCGUGCAGGAUGACGGCCUUCGGGUUGUAAACUGCUUUUGCACAAGAAGAAAAUCGGGAUGCGUCCUGAAUUGACGGUACUGUGCGAAUAAGCACCGGCUAACUCCGUGCCAGCAGCCGCGGUAAUACGGAGGGUGCAAGCGUUGUCCGGAUUUAUUGGGUUUAAAGGGUACGUAGGCGGCUUGAUAAGUCAGUGGUGAAAGUUUGCAGCUUAACUGUAAAAGUGCCAUUGAUACUGUUAGGCUUGAGUACUGUAGAGGUGGGCGGAAUUCCGCAUGUAGCGGUGAAAUGCAUAGAUAUGCGGAGGAACUCCAACUGCGAAGGCAGCUCACUGGGCAGUAACUGACGCUGAGGUACGAAAGCGUGGGGAGCGAACAGGAUUAGAUACCCUGGUAGUCCACGCCGUAAACGAUGGUAACUAGGUGUGCGCG